rnacentral:rRNA from 1 species
GUAGGUGGCAAGCGUUGUCCGGAAUUAUUGGGCGUAAAGCGCGCGCAGGCGGUUCUUUAAGUCUGAUGUGAAAGCCCACGGCUCAACCGUGGAGGGUCAUUGGAAACUGGAGAACUUGAGUACAGAAGAGGAAAGCGGAAUUCUACGUGUAGCGGUGAAAUGCGUAGAGAUGUGGAGGAACACCAGUGGCGAAGGCGGCUUUCUGGUCUGUAACUGACGCUGAGGCGCGAAAGCGUGGGGAGCAAACAGGAUUAGAUACCCUGGUAGUCCACGCCGUAAACGAUGAGUGCUAAGUGUUAGGGGGUUUCCGCCCCCCUUAGUGCUGCAGCUAACGCAUUAAGCACUCCGCCUGGGAGUACGGCCGCAAGGCUG